CCCGGGCAGCCUGCGGGGGGCAGCGAGGCGCAAAGACCAUGCCCCAAGAGCCGAGGGAAAGUCCUGAGAUGCGCGGCUUGGGACGCUGGCGGCCAAGCUCCGACGCGGGGCUGGGUGCACCUGGACGCACCUGGACGCACCUCACACGCCGCGAGCUAAGCAGAAAAGGGAGGCAGGCUGCCCCGACACCCCACUACUCACCGCUAGGUUUCCGCCUGGCGCCGAUCCGGCUGCGUCACGCCGGCCGAACGACACCCCGCUGAGUCGCCGCCGCAGGGAAAGUACCUUCGGCCCCAACGGGAAAAGCCAAUUUCCAGUAAUUCGCGCCCGACCACCGGAGAGAGACAGAGUCUUGCACUGUUGCCCAGGCUGGAGUACAGUGGCGCAUUCUUGGCUCACUGCAACCUCCACCUCCCGGGUUCAAGAGAUUCUCCUGCCUCAGCCUCCCGAGUAGCUGGGAUUACAGGCGCCUGCCACCACGCCCAGCUAAUUUUUUGUAUUUUUAGUAGAGACAGGGUUUCACCAUGUUGGCCAGGCUGGUCUCGAACUCCUGACCUCAUGAUUCACCCACCUCAGCCUCCCAGAGUGUUGGGAUUACAGGCGUGAGCCACCGCGCCCGGCCAAGAUGAACAUUUUUUAAAACCAAUUUUUCAGGUAUAAGAUUUCUAGCCAAAGGAAAAUUUUGUUGUAUUUAUUCUAACAUUUGCUGUAAUUUGGUAUUAUGUGGUAUUUCUUUUGUGCUUUAACCAAAAUCAUGCUAGAUUUAGAUGCCAAUAAAUGCACAAUUUGAAUUGAAAACAGUCUUUUUACCUUCCAAAUAAUUUA
rnacentral:antisense_RNA from 1 species